GUCCACCCCGUAAACGUUGGGAACUAGUUGUGGGGACCAUUCCACGGUUUCCGUGACGCAGCUAACGCAUUAAGUUCCCCGCCUGGGGAGUACGGCCGCAAGGCUAAAACUCAAAGGAAUUGACGGGGACCCGCACAAGCGGCGGAGCAUGCGGAUUAAUUCGAUGCAACGCGAAGAACCUUACCAAGGCUUGACAUACACCAGAACACCGUAGAAAUACGGGACUCUUUGGACACUGGUGAACAGGUGGUGCAUGGUUGUCGU
rnacentral:rRNA from 1 species